UGGGGAAUAUUGGACAAUGGGCGAAAGCCUGAUCCAGCCAUGCCGCGUGAGUGAAGAAGGCCUUAGGGUUGUAAAGCUCUUUCAGCGGGGAAGAUAAUGACGGUACCCGCAGAAGAAGCCCCGGCUAACUUCGUGCCAGCAGCCGCGGUAAUACGAAGGGGGCUAGCGUUGUUCGGAAUUACUGGGCGUAAAGCGCGCGUAGGCGGGUUGUUAAGUCAGGGGUGAAAUGCCGAGGCUCAACCUCGGAACUGCCUUUGAUACUGGCAAUCUGGAGAUCGGGAGAGGUGAGUGGAAUUCCGAGUGUAGAGGUGAAAUUCGUAGAUAUUCGGAGGAACACCAGAAGCGAAGGCGGCUCACUGGCCCGAUACUGACGCUGAGGCGCGAAAGCGUGGGGAGCAAACAGG
rnacentral:rRNA from 1 species